CCCGUAGGGUGCGAGCGUUGUACGGAAUUAUUGGGCGUAAAGAGCUCGUAGGCGGUGUGUCGCGUCGGCCGUGAAAACCUGCAGCUUAACUGUGGGCUUGCGGUCGAUACGGGCAUCACUGGAGUUCGGCAGGGGAGACUGGAAUUCCUGGUGUAGCGGUGAAAUGCGCAGAUAUCAGGAGGAACACCGGUGGCGAAGGCGGGUCUCUGGGCCGAUACUGACGCUGAGGAGCGAAAGCGUGGGGAGCGAACAGG
rnacentral:rRNA from 1 species